AUUUUAGUAUAAAUAUGUCCCAUGCAAGAUUUAGGAUAUACUUACGCUAAAA
rnacentral:pre_miRNA from 1 species